rnacentral:rRNA from 1 species
GACGAACGCUGGCGGUGUGCUUAACACAUGCCAGUCGAACGGAAAGGCCCUGCUUUUGUGGGGUGCUCGAGUGGCGAACGGGUGAGUAACACGUGAGUAACCUGCCCUUGACUUUGGGAUAACUUCAGGAAACUGGGGCUAAUACCGGAUAGGAGCUCCUGCUGCAUGGUGGGGGUUGGAGAGUUUCGGCGGUUGGGGAUGGACUCGCGGCUUAUCAGCUUGUUGGUGGGGUAGUGGCUUACCAAGGCUUUGACGGGUAGCCGGCCUGAGAGGGUGACCGGCCACAUUGGGACUGAGAUACGGCCCCGACUCCUACGGGAGGCAGCAGUGGGGAAUAUUGCACAAUGGGCGGAAGCCUGAUGCAGCAACGCCGCGUGCGGGAUGACGGCCUUCGGGUUGUAAACCGCUUUCGCCUGUGACGAAGCGUGAGUGACGGUAAUGGGUAAAGAAGCACCGGCUAACUACGUG